rnacentral:rRNA from 1 species
UACGUAGGCAGCAAGCGUUGUUCGGAAUUACUGGGCGUAAAGAGUGUGUAGGCGGUGCUCUAAGUUCGGUGUGAAAUCUCCCGGCUUAACUGGGAGGGUGCGCCGGAAACUGGAGUGCUUGAGCGCGGGAGAGGAAAGCGGAAUUCCUGGUGUAGCGGUGAAAUGCGUAGAUAUCAGGAGGAACACCGGUGGCGAAGGCGGGUCUCUGGGCCGAUACUGACGCUGAGGAGCGAAAGCGUGGGGAGCGAACAGG